rnacentral:rRNA from 1 species
UACGUAGGGGGCUAGCGUUGUCCGGAUUUAUUGGGCGUAAAGAGCGUGUAGGCGGCCAGGUAGGUCUGCUGUGAAAACUCGAGGCUCAACCUCGAGAUGUCGGCGGAAACCAUCUGGCUAGAGUCCGGAAGAGGAGAGUGGAAUUCCUGGUGUAGCGGUGAGAUGCGCAGAUAUCAGGAAGAACACCCGUGGCGAAGGCGGCUCUCUGGGACGGUACUGACGCUGAGACGCGAAAGCGUGGGGAGCGAACAGG